GUAUCACACUUCACUUUCAGUACUCAGUGCUCACUGCUCGCCGAGUCAAUCCUAAUAUUAUUUUAGUUUAUAGACUACAUAGGAAUCCACGGAAAUAGUUUUCAACAUUUCAUACUCGAUAAAUACGUUGUAUGGCGCCUACGUAAUUGGAAAUAUGGAAUCGUUAAAACAUUAAAACAAUAGAUUGUAGUAUUGUAUACCUAUUUAAUUAUUACGUCACGUCUAUAACAUGAUACAGGAUGUACGUAUAUGGUAUAUAUAUAGGCACUAAAUGAGUAACCAGGUUUGGCCAAAAUUCCGACGGAUAUACUACAUAAUACAUAUAAUACUAUACAAAACAACAUUGACUGUGUAAGUAAAUGAUGCUGAUUACAAAUAUUAAAAGAAAUGUGAGGAAACAAGCAUUUAAUUAAAAGUUACAGCAGUUUAAAGUUUGCAAUUUUAAUAUGCGAAGUCGCAGCGCGUCAGACUUAAUACACUACUCACUAUUUUGGUACCUAGACACCUAGUUAAUACUUAUUAUUUAUUAAUAGGACUUUGAAAUUAUAGGAGCUAAA